rnacentral:rRNA from 1 species
CAGGGUUUGACAUGCAAGUGGUAGGAAACCGAAAGGGGACCGACUCCUCGGAGAGCUUGCACAGGUGCUGCAUGGCUGUCGUCAGCUCGUGUCGUGAGAUGUUCGGUUAAGUCCGCUAACGAGCGCAACCCUCGCUGCGUGUUAUACGUGUCACGUGGGACUGCCGGUCUUAAGCCGGAGGAAGGUGGGGAUGACGUCAAGUCAGCAUGGCCUUUAUAUCCUGGGCUACACACACGCUACAAUGGCCAACACAAUAGGUUGCUAAGCCGCGAGGUGGAGCCAAUCCUCAAAGUUGGUCUCAGUUCAGAUUGUAGGCUGAAACUCGCCUGCAUGAAGAUGGAGUUGCUAGUAACCGCAGGUCAGCUAUACUGCGGUGAAUACGUUCCC